UUCAAAUUACCCACGAAAUCAAACAAAAAAUGAAGGAUAAAUCUCCAAAGCUCCGAUACGCAAUGGUCUGCUCCUCGAAACAGAAUCGGAGCAUGGAAGCUCACUCCCUCCUCCAGCGCAAUGGCUUCGACGUCUCCUCCUACGGCACUCGGGCACAUGUUAAGCUCCCGGGUCCAUCGUACCACGAGCCCAACAUCUACGAAUUCAGAACCCCUUAUCACAAGAUGUACGAUGACCUCCUCCGCAAGAACCCUGAAUUGUACAAGCGUAAUGGGAUCUUGCCGAUGUUGAAGAGGAAUAUGAGUGUGAAGCUAGCGCCUCAGCGCUGGCAGGAUAAUGCUGCUGAUGGCCCCUUUGAUGUUGUUCUCAGUUUCGAAGAUAGGGUUUUCGAUGCGAUCGUUGAUGAUUUUGUAUUCGCUUUCAUCUCUCGAGAUCAUGGUGGAAACGAGGGCUUCUUCUGAACGGUCUCUUCUUUCAACCUCCUCCUCUUCAUCAACUGUCUUCAAGCCCAAACACUCCAAAGAUAAACAGUUACAAAAAUUGAACAUGUUACAAAAAUUGAAGAAUCCAUGUCUCUGCCGGUGUCCGAUCCUCCGUCGAGGGGCGACGAAAGCGGCGACGAUACCGCAGUCGCCAAGGGAUCGACGAUGACCAAGAGAGGCGCCUACGCCGCCCUAUCCUACAUGACCUGCGCCGUACUUCUGGUUAUGUUCAACAGAGCAGCUCUGUCUUCAUACAGUUUCCCUUGUGCUAAUGUUAUUACUCUCUUACAGGCAUUUCACAUUUCGAAACGGUCAUCCAGUAGCUGAAAGCUCAAGCAGAGGAGGAAUCCAGACAAGAGGAUGCAAAUGACAAACCUACAAGUAUAUCAUUAUAUCAUAGGAGACUGCUAAUGCAAAUAAGGUCCCUUAUCGGACUCUUAUAUUUUCAAGCAGAGGAGGAAUCCAGACAAGAGGAUGCAAAUGACAAACCUACAAGUAUAUCAUAGGAGACUGCUAAUGCAAAUAAGACAAGGGUAAAUUAACAAACUCGAACUCUUAUAUUUUCAUCAAGGAAUAUUCCAUGAGCAUGAAAUAAUAC